ACACCGGACGCGAUUCGACAACGCGACGAGAUUUUUUAGUUUUUGAAAGUUAAUAAAACAGCCAAUGAGAGAAAAAAUUUUCUCUCAUUGGCUGUUUUAUUAACUUUCAAAAACUAAAAAAUCGCGUCGCGUUGUCGAAUCGCGUCUGGUGU